AAGUCAGCCUUCUCUGAGGAAGUGACAUUUCAGCCGAGAGCUGAAGGAGGUAUAAGACUGAGCUAGGUGAAAAGUUGGAGAAUAUUCUAGGAAGAAUAGUAUGUGCAAAGGUCCUGAGUCAGAAAGGAGGUUGUUGCCUUUGAGAAUUUGAAAAAAUAAAGGCUGGUACGGGUGACCUAGUGAAUGAGGAUCAAAGAUGGAGCAUUUAAACACAUUCACUAACACUCUGCCAGGUGCUGAUUCUCAGUGCUGUACAAAUGUAAGCUCGUUUGAUCCUUACAACAGCCCUUUGAGGUCGAUACUACUAUCACCCCCGUUUUACAGAUGCAGAAAAAGGCACCUGCCCAGGUGGUACAGGCAUUGUGGCUGCCCAGGCAUUGUGUCUCCAGAGUGCUGCUGUUACCUCCUCCAUUCAGAUGGGACAUGCUGUGGCCUGGGCAGUGGCCAUAGCAGCAUAGAUAACUAGAGAAUUGUGCAGGUGGAAAAUAUGUUAAAGAGGGGGCAGCAGAGAAUUUCAGCCUUUAGAGGGGUUUUAGUGGUGAAUUGGCUGUGAAGGUGGAGCCUAGUUUCUUGGAGGAUGUAGUGUCACUUAACAGACAUAAAGACUUUCGGAGGGGCUGGUGUAGGCAAGAUGGUGAUAUUUUGACAUGUGUCAGGACGUGGUAAGCUCCUACUGUAUCUGAAUCCCUAGAAUCUAAUGCAUAAAAGAUGUUAAGGUAUUUGUUAAAAGAAUUAUGAAUUCCAAGGAGAAAAUACAACUUGAGCGAAAGUUUGGAGGCAGGAAAGUGAGACAGGUUUGAGCCCCAGCGAUACUUGCCAUGAAGCAGGAGUGUGGAGUGCCAGAGGUCAUUCCCAUCUGUCCCAGCCCUUGUCUCACUGUCGUGUCCUGGGGGCUCACCCACCUCCCCUGUUGGAUGGAAGCUCCUAAAGGCACACACCUCCUUGGGCUUGUCCGCAGCCUUGGUGUCCAGCACAGGUUUUGGCACAUAGAUGCUGAGUGAAAGGAAUGGCAAGCCUCACAGCCAAUGGAAAGAACACCUCUGCGGCUGCCACCUUGCUCCAAGCUGCAUCGUCUCUUGCCUGAAUUAUUGCAGAAGCCUAGCUGGUCUCCUGCCUUCCACACGCCCCCUCCCCCAGUAAUCUUGUUCUCAACAGCAACCAAAGUGAUCCUGUAUAAUCAUAAGUCAUUCCUUGUUUUUCCUCUGGGUGGCUCCCAUUGUAGUCAGUAAAAGGUAGUGGUCUUAGGGUGCCUGACGAGGGCUAUAUGACCUACCCCCACCCCCAGCCAAACUUGGUCUCUUCCUGCUACCCACUCCCUCCACUCCAGCUGUUUUUGUUGUUGUUUUUGGUUUGUUUGUUUUUUUUGAGAUGGAGUCUUGCUUUGUCACCCAGGCUGGAGUACAGUGGUGCAGUCUCAUCUCACUCCAACCUCUAGCCUCCCAAGUUCAAACGAUGCUCCUGCCUCAGCCUCCCGAGUAGCUGGGAUUACAGGUGCCCACCACCACACCCAGCUAAUUUUUGUUAUUUUUAACACAGAUGGGGUUUCACCAUGUUGGCCACGCUGAUCUCGAACUCUUGACCUCAGGUGACCUGCCUGCCUCGGCCUCCCAAAGUGCUGAGAUUACAGGUGUGAGCCACCACACCCAGCCAUUCCAGCUGUUUUGUGUUUUUCAAACACAUUUGACACAUUUCUGCUUCAGGGCCUUUGCACUGGGUGUUCCCUCUACCUAGACAAAUGCUCUUCCGCCGGAUAUCCACAGCUCUCUUCGAGUCAUUUCAGUGAGACCUUCUCAUUCCCUCCUAUUUAAAAUUGCACCCUCCACCCCUGGAAUUCCCCUUUUCUGUUUCCUCUUUUGUUUUUCUCCAUGAAAUGUUUGUGCUUCUAAAAUACUGGGUCCUUUGUCCUUCAUCUCUCACUGAAGCGAAAGCUCCAGAGUAGCUCCCUUGGUGAGUAGUAUUCAGGACAUAAUUGUUGGAAACUGGGGGGACCGAGCGCCUGGGGCUUUCAGCAGGACCUGUGUGGAGAAUGCAUUUGAUGGAGAAGAGCCUAGCCGCUGUAAUAACCUGGGAAGGGAACGAUGAGGUUUGUGGCAGGGCCAUGGGCCAGGGACUGAGAAUGCUUCCAGGGGGAGUGAAUCUGAAGUGGUGCUCCCUGCCUGCUACCCACAGACGAGUACCGGAAGCGAGAGUGUAAAGACCACCUCAGAGUAAACCUGAAGUUUCUGACCAGGACGAGAAGCACCGUGGCUGAGUCUGUGAGCCAGCAGAUUUUGCGCCAGAACCGGGGCCGCAAGGCCUGUGACCGGCCUGUGGCCAAGACCAAGAAGAAGAAGGCUGAGGGCACCGUGUUCACCGAGGAAGACUUCCAGAAGUUCCAGCAGGAAUACUUCGGCAGCUAGGCUCCCUGGAGGGCACAGUGAAGAGGCCUUCAAGCCCCGCAGCCUCCGACUCCUCUGCUGGCUCCAGGAACCGGCCGUGCAGCGCGGCCAGCAGAUGGCGAUGCAGGACCAGCCUGGCUCGAGGAAGCCGCGGAGCUGGAGUCCAGUGGAGGCUGGAAUGGAGCUGGUGGGCCGGAAGUCCUGGGGAGGAUUUACACACAGACCGGAGCUGGCUUCCGCAGGCCUGGGCAGAGCAUCUGCACCUGUCUGUUUUGUUUGCUUUUGCCCAGGUGGGGCCUCUGGGCUGUUUGCUGUGGAGCAAGGCUAAUUCCUGAGCCCCCGGGGACGACACUUCCAGGAGUAGGAAGAAGGGUGGGCUUCCAAGUUAUAAUAAAUGUGAACCC
rnacentral:sRNA from 1 species